rnacentral:rRNA from 1 species
CCUGGCUCAGGAUGAACGCUAGCGGCAGGCUUAACACAUGCAAGUCGCGGGGCAGCGGGGGAUGAGCUUGCUCAUCCCGCCGGCGACCGGCGCACGGGUGAGUAACACGUAUGCAACCUGCCCCUGUCAGGGGGACAACCCACCGAAAGGUGGGCUAAACCCGCGUACAUCCGGAGGGGGCAUCCCCUUGGGAGGAAAGGAGCGAUCCGGACAGGGAUGGGCAUGCGGCGCAUUAGCUAGACGGCGGGGUAACGGCCCACCGUGGCGACGAUGCGUAGGGGUUCUGAGAGGAAGGCCCCCCACACUGGUACUGAGACACGGACCAGACUCCUACGGGAGGCAGCAGUGAGGAAUAUUGGUCAAUGGUCGGGAGACUGAACCAGCCAAGCCGCGUGAGGGAAGAAGGUACAGCGUAUCGUAAACCUCUUUUGCCGGGGAACAAGAGCUUCCACGAGUGGGAGUGUGAGCGUACCCGGANAAAAAGCAUCGGCUAACUCCGUGCCAGCAGCCGCGGUAAUACGGAGGAUGCGAGCGUUAUCCGGAUUUAUUGGGUUUAAAGGGUGCGUAGGCGGCGAGUUAAGUCAGCGGUAAAAGCCCGGGGCUCAACCCCGGCCCGCCGUUGAAACUGGCUGGCUUGAGUUGGGGAAAGGCAGGCGGAAUGCGCGGUGUAGCGGUGAAAUGCAUAGAUAUCGCGCANAACCCCGAUUGCGAAGGCAGCCUGCCGGCCCCACACUGACGCUGAGGCACGAAAGCGUGGGUAUCGAACAGGAUUAGAUACCCUGGUAGUCCACGCAGUAAACGAUGAAUGCUUGCUGUCCGGGGGGAUUUGCCCCUGGGGGGGCGCAGCGAAAGCGAUAAGCAUUCCACCUGGGGAGUACGCCGGCAACGGUGAAACUCAAAGGAAUUGACGGGGGCCCGCACAAGCGGAGGAACAUGUGGUUUAAUUCGAUGAUACGCGAGGAACCUUACCCGGGCUCAAACGGGAGACGCCGCAGGCAGAGACGCCUGUUUCCUUAGGGACGUCUUCCGAGGUGCUGCAUGGUUGUCGUCAGCUCGUGCCGUGAGGUGUCGGCUUAAGUGCCAUAACGAGCGCAACCCCCGCGGGCAGUUGCUAACAGGUUAAGCUGAGGACUCUGCCCGGACUGCCGGCGCAAGCCGCGAGGAAGGCGGGGAUGACGUCAAAUCAGCACGGCCCUUACGUCCGGGGCGACACACGUGUUACAAUGGGCGGUACAGCGGGAAGCCAGGCGGCGACGCCGAGCGGAACCCGAAAGCCGUUCUCAGUUCGGAUCGGAGUCUGCAACCCGACUCCGUGAAGCUGGAUUCGCUAGUAAUCGCGCAUCAGCCAUGGCGCGGUGAAUACGUUCCCGGGCCUUGUACACACCGCCCGUCAAGCCAUGGGAGCCGGGGGUGCUUGAAGUGCGUCGCCGCGAGGCGCGCCCUAGAGCAAAACCGGUGACUGGGGNUAAG